ACUGGGAAGACGUGAAGAUUCUAACUGGCCAAGGGACCUAGUAUUGCCUGAAUUCCAUUCUUGAUUUUACAGUCACAGAGGAGGUAGAUAACAUGGCAUUACUACCUGGGGCUUCAGUCCCAAUGCCCGCCCGCCGUAGAAUGCCUGGAAACGCUGCCUCUAAACUAUGGCGUUCUUCUCUCCUUUGACACGGCUCAGCAGCCUUGAGCCAAGUCAGACCUAUUUUCACCCCAAAGCCCAAACCCAAGGUGCAGCUCUUACAACUCCCAUUUGGUCAAAUGCCUUGCCCAACAGCCCUAGAAGAAAAGGAGUAGGCGAGCUGUUUAAUCCAGUAACCAAAGGAGCCCGCCAAGGCUGCCUUGCAGGCCAAGAAGAAACAGGCAAGAGGGCCAGGCGGUGCCCUGGGCCACCUCACCUUGCCAGUUAAGGGGUGCAAAAGAAAGGGCGGACCACGUCCAUGUGUGCUGUCAUCUUCAUCUCUGAAAAUUUCCAUCCUCCAGCAAUCGUCAGGAAGAGAAAUGAGCAUGAUGGGUUUAGGAAACUGCAAGUUUAAAAGGGCUGGAGUGCAGCCUGGGUGACGAGUGGAGAGUUAAGAGGAGGCCAGAAGACCAUGAAGAGUCUCGAAUGCCACGUUGAGGCAUUUGAACCUAACGCAGGGCAUUUCUAAACUAAAGUUGUCACCACAUUCACUGAUGUGAUCUUGUCUCCCUGUACCUGAGCUGUCACCCGGGGGCCAGAGAAGAGUAAUCACUGAACUCCUACAAGAAUUUCUGUGGAACAGAAAGACCAGAUGCUGUCCUUCUGGCAUGCUGUUUCUUACCUUGGACCUUUAGCCGUGGUUCUCAAUCUUGGCCACACAUUGGACUCAAAUUGAAAUGACGUUGGAAUCCUCCAUCACAAUGGAUACAACAGUGGAAAAGAACAAAACAUGCUGCACAAACGUGGAUUAAUCGCUCUGACAUAAUGAUGAAGGGAAGAAGCCAGACACAAAAGAGUACGUACAGGACGACUCCACUCUCUGAAGUUCAAACACCGGCAAAACAAACCCGAAUAGUGGUUGGUGUUGAGGGUAGAUAUCGACUGGAAGGAGGUACAAAGGGUGCUUCUAGGCACCUAUCAAUAGUCUAUAUCUUGAUCUAUGUGGUGGUUGCAUGAGUGGGUGUAUAUAUUCAUAAAAUAUGUGAAGGCAGAGGUACUCAGGGGAUCCAGAUGCAGAAAGAUAGGCUGGACCCAAGGGUGAGUGGGGUGCUUAAUGGGAGAUCAGGCAAAUGUGAGGCCUUGGACUGGAGGCUGCAUCUUCUGGAAAAGCUCCCACUGACUCUGCAGGGUAGAGAGUGUGAGCCCACGGUACAGGUGUGUGAAUAGUAUUUCAAUCAGAGAGACUCAGCUUUGGAAAGAGAAAUAGGAGCAUGGGACCUGGAUGUUCAACUCCCUAGGGAAGCAGGGAAGCAGAGCCUGGGCUUCAACCAAAAGGCAAACCUCCACUCUGCCAGGGGCCACUGGUGUACAAAACGCAGGGGAAGUAAUAGUUUGUGAAUAUCAAGUGGCAGCUUUUGGGCUGUUUUACUUUUCAUGUUUUUCCCUUUUUUUCCCCGAUCUGCGGUAGUCCCCCAUUAUCUGCAGUUUCACUUUCCAUCAUUUCAGUUACCCGUGGUCAACCAGUCAGAAAAUAUUAAAUAGAAAAUUCCAGAAAUAAACAAUUUGUUUUAAAUUGCAGUGCUGCGAUGAAAUCCUGCUCUGUCCCACCCAGGAUGUCAAUCAUUCCUUUGCCCAGAGUAUCUAUUCUGUAUAUGCGACCCCACCCCCCACCAUUAGUCACUUAGUAGCCUUCUGGGUUAUCAGAUCACUAUCUCAGUAUUGCAGUGCUUGUGGUUCAAGCAAUCCUCAUUUCACUUAAAAACGGUCCCAAAGCCCAAGAACAGUGAUGCUGGCAAUUUGGAUUCGCCAAAGAGAAGCCAUAAAGUGUUUCCUUUAAUUGAAAAGGUGAAAGUUCUCGACUUACUAAGGAAAGAAUAAAAUCAUAUGCUGAGAAUGCUAAGAUUUAUGGUAACCUUUAUUACAGUACAUUAUUAUAAUCAUUC